CCCUUAGAUGUUCUGGGCCGCACGCGCGCUACACUGACGGAUUCAACGAGCUUACAACCUUGGCCGAAAGGUCUGGGUAAUCUCCAAAAUCCGCCGUGAUGGGGAUAGAUUAUUGCAAUUAUUAAUCUUCAACGAGGAAUGCCUAGUAAGCGCAAGUCAUCAGCUUGCGUUGAUUACGUCCCUGCCCUUUGUACACACCGCCCGUCGCUCCUACCGAUUGAAUGGUCCGGUGAAGCGUUUGGACUAUGGUUUUCUGAUGGUCCGCCGUUGGAUUACCGUGGGAAGUUCGUUAAACCUUAUCAUUUAGAGGAAGGAGAAGUCGUAACA
rnacentral:rRNA from 1 species